GGUGAACGCUGGCGGCGUGCUUAACACAUGCAAGUCGAACGGAAAGGCCCAAGCUUGCUUGGGUGCUCGAGUGGCGAACGGUUGAGUAACACGUGGGUGAUCUGCCCUGCACUUUGGGAUAAGCCUGGGAAACUGGGUCUAAUACCGGAUAGGACCAUCGUUUAGUGUCGGUGGUGGAAAGUUUUUCGGUGUGGGAUGAGCUCGCGGCCUAUCAGCUUGUUGGUGGGGUAAUGGCCUACCAAGGCGUCGACGGGUAGCCGGCCUGAGAGGGUGUACGGCCACAUUGGGACUGAGAUACGGCCCAGACUCCUACGGGAGGCAGCAGUGGGGAAUAUUGCACAAUGGGCGCAAGCCUGAUGCAGCGACGCCGCGUGGGGGAUGACGGCCUUCGGGUUGUAAACUCCUUUCGCCAAGGACGAAGCGUUUUGUGACGGUACUUGGAGAAGAAGCACCGGCUAACUACGUG
rnacentral:rRNA from 1 species